rnacentral:misc_RNA from 1 species
AAGGAGCAUCUGCGGACCGGGCUUGCCUGGUUCGGAGGCCACGCGGUCGGCGAACGAUCGACCGGUGGAGCUCAAUAUUGUGGAUGCUGGCUAAUGCAGAACCUCGGGUUGUCGGGAGAGUUAGUACUGCUCGUAAGAGCGUGGAAGGGUCUCCGGAGGGUUCAAGGCUUCUGUUCGGUACGCUGUUGGGUCCUGAGAGAACACGUGAGUGUCUUUCAGUGAUCGGGCUGAUCCAGCCCACGAACCAGUCGGUCAGUGUGACCGGGUAGGCGUGGACGGAGAAGGAUCAGCGUCGGUUUGUUCUUUGAGAACUGCACAGUGGAUGCGAGCAUCUUUGU